rnacentral:lncRNA from 1 species
GGGAAGUCUUCUUCUUCUUUCCAUCAAUGUUUUCGCGUCUUCUUUCAAUAAUAUCAAUUGUGUCUUAAACAUUUUGAUUAUUAAAUUGCAUAGAAAAGUCUUUGAACAACAAGCCAAAAAGGAUAACAGUUAAUAUUGGUGAAUAUAUUUUUUUAAAAUCAUGAAUUAUUCGGCAGAAGAUAUUAUAUUGCUAGAUCGUGGUGCUGAUACUUCUGUUACUGUCCAUCUCCAUGGAGCUACAAUUAUAUCUUGGAGAUGUGCUGGAGAGGAAAUGUUAUUUUUAAGUAAAAAUGCCAUAUUUGAUAACUUGAAAGCUAUUCGGGGAGGAAUACCAUUAGUUUUCCGUAA